rnacentral:rRNA from 1 species
AUUGAACGCUGGCGGCAUGCCUUACACAUGCAAGUCGAACGGUAACAGGUCUUCGGAUGCUGACGAGUGGCGAACGGGUGAGUAAUACAUCGGAACGUGCCUAGUAGUGGGGGAUAACUACUCGAAAGAGUGGCUAAUACCGCAUGAGAUCUACGGAUGAAAGCAGGGGAUCGCAAGACCUUGUGCUACUAGAGCGGCCGAUGGCAGAUUAGGUAGUUGGUGGGAUAAAAGCUUACCAAGCCGACGAUCUGUAGCUGGUCUGAGAGGACGAUCAGCCACACUGAGACUGAGACGCGGCCCAGACUCCUACGGGAGUCAGCAGUGGGGAAUUUUGGACAAUGGGCGCAAGCCUGAUCCAGCAACGCCGCGUGCAGGAUGAAGGCCUUCGGGUUGUAAACUGCUUUUGUACGGAACGAAAAGCCCUGGGUUAAUACCCUGGGGUCAUGACGGUACCGUAAGAAUAAGCACCGGCUAACUACGUGCCAGCAGCCGCCGUAA